CACAGAGAUAACAAAGAAACUUGUUUCAGAGGCAUCCUCAAAUCUUAGGCCCAAAUACAUGGUGGUAUUAACAGAAACAACGAAAUAUCCAUAGCAACUGUGGAAAGCAGAUCACAUCCCAUAGUGAGAUAAUAAAUAAAGUCACUGCCUUUUGUGACACCUUACUCAACCUCAGACAGAAAUAAAUGCUCCUCGCUCCUGUUCCCAUAAAUCCACCCAGCUUGUGUUUGUGGGAGCAGAGGGAGGAUUGCUCCCCAAUCCAGGCCCACAAAAGUGGCUUUCCCUUCCACAGCAGCUCCCACCCUCUGCUGGGAGUCAGAGACCUCUCCCAAGGACCCACUCAGGACGGAGUCUGCGGCUGUUUAGGAAGGGUCUCCACUGGGUAGUUUGCAGGAAACUCAACGAAAUCAAAGCCCAACAGUAGGGGCCACGUAAAGAAAAAUCUACCUCACCCCAUGUCUAUCCAUCUUCCCGACUGCUGCCUGCCUCCUGCCUUGUGACCAGCUCUGCCGGCAGACCCUGCAGUAUGACUCAGCGUGUUGAAAUCUGCCUCUGUGGGCACGCACUGCUCUCAGAACUGCUUCAACCACCAGAAGCAGCUAAUUGCAAUGAGUCUCUGGACCCUGCUCCAAUGGCAACACUCAAGAGGAAGCGACCACCAAGGCAGUACCUUCCUAUUAAAUGCUACUGACCUCCAGAAAGAACGUGCCUUGGCUUUGUGAGGAGCUCAGAGGCUCUGAGAGGCCCCCUGUGGGGGAGCGUGUUCAGGACUAUACGAGGCCUGCCUUCCCAGCUCGCCUGCACUGGGCUGAGAUGAUGGUGGUGACGACGACAAAUAAUACUAAGAAUAAAGGUACCACUGACUGAACGCU